AGUGAACGCUGGCGGUAGGCCUAACACAUGCAAGUCGAACGGCAGCACAGUAAGAGCUUGCUCUUACGGGUGGCGAGUGGCGGACGGGUGAGGAAUACAUCGGAAUCUACUUUUUCGUGGGGGAUAACGUAGGGAAACUUACGCUAAUACCGCAUACUACCUACGGGUGAAAGCAGGAGAUCUUCGGACCUUGCGCGAUUGAAUGAGCCGAUGUCGGAUUAGCUAGUUGGCGGGGUAAAGGCCCACCAAGGCGACGAUCCGUAGCUGGUCUGAGAGGAUGAUCAGCCACACUGGAACUGAGACACGGUCCAGACUCCUACGGGAGGCAGCAGUGGGGAAUAUUGGACAAUGGGCGCAAGCCUGAUCCAGCCAUACCGCGUGGGUGAAGAAGGCCUUCGGGUUGUAAAGCCCUUUUGUUGGGAAAGAAAAGCAGCAGGUUAAUACCCCGCUGUUCUGACGGUACCCAAAGAAUAAGCACCGGCUAACUUCGUG
rnacentral:rRNA from 1 species